GUCCACGCCGUAAACGAUGGGUGCUAGUUAUCGGGACUUUUAGUUUCGGUGACGUAGUUAACGCGUUAAGCACCCCGCCUGGGGAGUACGGUCGCAAGAUUAAAACUCAAAGGAAUUGACGGGGACCCGCACAAGCGGUGGAGCAUGUGGUUUAAUUCGAUGCAACGCGAAGAACCUUACCAUCCUUUGACAUCCUGGUCAUAGACUUCGUAGUGAAGUCGUCAGUUCGGCUGGACCAGUGACAGGUGUUGCAUGGCU
rnacentral:rRNA from 1 species